rnacentral:lncRNA from 1 species
UGCACCGGCAGCAUAUGGAGGUUCCCAGGCUAAGGGGUGAACCUGAGCUGUAGCCAUUGGCCUAUGUCAGAGCCACAGCAAUGCAGGAUCUGAGCCAUGUCUGCAACCUACACCACAGCUCACGGCAACGCCAGAUCCUUAACCCAUUGAGUGAGGUCAGGGCUCCAACCCAUGUCCUCGUGGAUGCUAGUCGGGUUCAUUAACCACUGAGCCACGACAAGAACUCUGGAAAUAUUUAAUACUAUAAGAAAUUUCCUUUGAAAUAUUAUAUAAACAUGGGCAAAAAAGUUAGAGCUUUGCUUUCAUAUAAGAUGUGAAUAAUAAGCAAAAGUGUGGAAAGAAAGGGAAGGCAAGUUAGGGUAGUCUACAUCCAAAACUCAUAGGGUAGCAGGUCAUUGUCCUAAAGAAUGGUAUCUCUUACCAUUCUGUCCAAUAGGGACAAAUAUUAGGAGCCCUCAUAGCAUGACUGUGGGAAGAUAACUAUAGAUUGGUGAUUUAUUUUUUGUCCUUUUUUUUGGGGGGGGGCUGCACCUGUGUCUUAUGGAGUUUCCCAAGCUAGAGGUCAAAUCAGAGCUGUAGCCACUGGCCUGUGCCACAGCCACAGCAAUGCUGGAUCCGAGCUGCAUCUGGACCUACACCGGAGCUCGUGGCAAUUCCCAAUCCUUAACUCACUGAGGGAGGCCAGGGAUUGAACCUGUGUCCUUAUGGAUACUACUCAUAUUCAUUUCUGCUGAGCCAUGACGGGAACUCCAAGAUUGGUGAUUUUUAAUCCAGAGUGUACAAUGGGUUUACGCGGGAGUCUUUUUAAAAUACACAGGCCAAGGCUCCACUCUAGACCUACUGAGUCCAAGGCAGGUGCAUUCUGAAAGGACCCCAGGGAUUUCUGAUGUUCAUAUGUAGGUAAAAGUCACCAUCCUACAUGGGAGUGAGGAUUGCUCAGCCCCCAGAACAUGGCCUCAUUCUAGAUUUAGUCUACUUCAAAAAAUGUCACGAUAUAGACAAAAUACUCCUGAAGUUCCUUCAUCCAUGAGAAAGAUGCAACUUUUCACCUGUGCUAGAAAAGCUUCAAGGUGGGCAAUAGAUUGAUAAGGGUUUUCCACUUCUCCCCUGGGGAAUAGAAGAAAUCCCAGAAGUGACUCUGCUAGGUUUUAGCUAUCAUUUUUAAGAAUUUCAGUUUAUGACCCUCAAAGUUUUUAGUUACACCAUGGCUAAAGGGGUGGGACACUCAGAUAAAACACAUCACACAAUUUCACAAACUGAAUUUGGAGUAAGUGGAUUUUGUUAAUUAUAGCAGCCCUUUGGAUAUAUAAUGAAACUGUAAUAACUAUACAAAAGUAUAUAGCAGCACAAUUUGCAAUUUAGGAAUAUUGGAUAUCACAUGGAAAAUUUGAUUUAAAAACGGUAAAAUAUUUAAAUGAUGUGUUGAUUCUGCCCGAUUCUUAGCUACGCUUUCCCCUUUUCAAAUAAGGUUGGAACCUGAUAUGAGUAGACAUAAACACUCAGCUGCACAUGCCCUCAUCUCUCUCUUCCUUCCUCACUUACAUUCCCUAUGUAUCACCUUCAAAUGCAAAGGGCUACUACUGUGACCUUGGGAGUGACUGGCAAAAAUGUGUGUGUGUGUGUGUGUAUGUGUGUGUGUGUGUGUCUGCACGUGCACAUGUACAUACAUGUGUGUGCACAGUAGGGCAUAUUUUCCUUUUCGAUGAAGGAGAGCUGCAGUUCCAGUAAUCAUAGGUAGGAUGAACUGCUUAGAAUAUAUUAUACACACACACAGAGGCAAGUCGCUUCUAACAUGUUGCUGCUUUUGCUGAUCCAUCAAAUGUUCUAAGAUUUUUGCAAAUGUAGUCAAUAUCAGUAAUAUAUUAACCAUGCUUCAUUCACAAACUGUUUAAUUAUUUCCUCACUGGUAAAGAAGAAUGGAAAAUAUGUAUAAUGUAAGCAUCACUAAGAAAUGAUAUACAAGGAAUUGGGAGAGCAGAUAAAGGAUAGACACUGCCUCAUCCAGGGAAUCAGAGUACUUCAUCUGAGAGAGGAAUGUUCCAUUUUUUUGGUUGGAUGCAAAUGUCAGGAAUAGAAAGUCAAAACAGAUCUUUCAACUUUUUUGAAAUAUCCUAUUUCUGCUCCAGCAUCCCAUCCACAAGAACUACUGCUCUAAGGAAUCCAACCCCUCCCAGUUAUUUGUUCUUACAUACGCAAUUGUUCAAGUCAUUAAAUGAUACUUCUCUGCCUUAUUUCAGCUCCUUAGCAUAACCUGCUUACUCUAAGCCCAGACUUCUACAUACGUGCUUCACCUUUUCACAACCAAUUCAUUUGCUAUACAGAUAUUUACUAAAUACAACAGCCUUCUGAAUCCAAGGGUUCUGUGGAUCCAACCAAUCGCAGAUAGCAUAGUAUGCUUAUAAUUCUCAGUUGGUUGAAUCUCUGGAUGCAGAAUCUGCCCAUGUAGAACCCGUGGGUAUGGGGGUGACUAAGGGACUUGAACGUCUGUGGAGUUUGGUAUCCACAGUGCUUCUUGGAACCAAUCUGCCAUGGAUACCGAGGGUCACAUGUACCUAUUAUGUGACAGGCAUAUUGCUAGGCACUCGAAUAUGUCAGUGUAAAAAAGAGGGGCACUCCUGCCAACAUGGGCGUAUUACUUCAGGAUUUCUCAACCUUGGCACAGCGGGCAUUUUAACCUAGAUAACUCUUUAUUGUAAGGUCCCAUACCUUGUGUUGUAGGAUGUUAAUAAGUAUCCAUCGGAUGCCAGUAGCACGCCCCCAGUGUGACAACUCAAUCUCUAUACAUUGUCAAUUGUCUCCAGGGAGGAACAAAAUCACCCUCAGCUGAGAAGCUCUGGGUUACUUAGUAGCGACCGUUACAGUGGUGAUUUAUAUUUAGUGUAGUAAUAAUUAGAAUACUGUCUUCUCACACAAGAUGAUACCUGUUUCCGUAGAACACACAGUAUCUUUUUCUUUUACCGCAUUUUUAGCUUCUUGGACAAUGACUAGUAUACAGUAGGCAUUAAAUAAAUAGUUGUUAAGGGACUGAAUGAUUAAACCAAUACUUGUACAUCUCUCUCAAAUCUGAGUUAGACAUUUUUGUUUCAUUAUCUUGUUCUGCAUACUUCAGCAUACUUAUUAUACUCUAUUAUAAUUGCCUACAAUUUUUGUCUGUCCCGUCUCUUUCUUAUUCAUGAAUGAUUGGCUGAAUGGCAAUACCAAUGAUUACUAAGCAUUCAGCAAGAGGUAGGCAUCAAGCUAGUUCAUUUGUGCUAUGCAUAUCCCCUUUUCACCUUUAUAAAAAAUUUGAAAAGAAAUGAUAUAAUCUCCAUUUUCACAGAACAGGAGCCAACUUGCCCUAGGUAUGAUGUAGUACAGUUAGACUCUGAACUUUCUAAGGCUUAUUCUAAAACCCAAAACUUUACCCUGCCUACACAGGUAGAAAUUUCUUGGUUUUGUCUAUGAGAAGUAGUGAGUGAGUUAAGAAAUGGCAAAUUAAGAACCCAAUAUUUUUCAUUAGGUAGGUAGAGGAAUAACAUUUAAAAUUAUUACUGGGAUGCAAUUAGCUUAAAAAAUAAACAAAUCAUUUUGUGGAUGAGAUGGGUUCCUGUUACCUAGGUUUUUUGGGGUGGCCAAAAUUUCAUUUGAAACCACAUAUAUAGGGCAUGAAUACUGACAAUGAAAUAUCAAUUUGGUCAAAAUUAUUUUUUUAGCCAAAUAUAUGUUUGUUUAGCUAAUAAUAUUUCUGCCAUUUAGCACUUUAUUGUGGAAUCAAUAGUAAGUUUUAAAUAUAAAAAUAGCUUUUAAAUCUUAAGACAUUUGUUUUUCAAAUUCUUUGACAGUUGUAGAUUUUAAGAAAUAACAUGGUUUUGGAAUACAAUGUUCAGUUAACCAUUUCACAAGUUCACAAUUAUACUCUACUUAUUAAUGUAUAAAUUGUUUUCUCAUUAUUUUGUCCACAAUUACAGUUUUCCUAGUGACAGAUUUUAUAAAUAUUUUAAUAUGCCUUCACCUUUCCUCUGGUCGCAGAUUAGACUAAUGAAUGUGUAGAUCAGACAGUUUUUAUGUUUUAUAAGAGAAGAAAAGACUUAAGAAAUAACACAGGAAUAUCUGUGUUUCUGUCUACAAGAAAGUUAUUGAAAGAUAGAAUUUAAAACACACUUGACUUUCUGAACAUUAGAAAAAAAUUAUCAUAGAACAGCAAUGACAAUGUUUCAAAUGUGGGCUUCUCCAUUUUUUACAGCAGACUAAUUUACUUCUUACAGAACCCUCACAGUUCUGGAAGGUAGGUUUGGUAACAAUUAUUAUUUUACAUUUUGUUGCUGAGAAAUCUGAGAUUUAUAUGAUUUGAAACACAUUUCUAAGUUCACUGAGAGGGUAAAUGGACUAACUUGAAGCAAUUCACAUCUGAAUGUUGGUUCCAACCUAACAUUUUACUGCUGCUUAGUCAAAGAGAUGAUUAUAUAGACGGUAACUAAGAAAAAUGGGAAGACUUAAGGGCUCUUAGGUUAACAUUCUAUCCAAGUUCCAGUCUUAAGAUGCCAUUGUACUUCUUUGGCAUUUAUUCAUAUUCUCUUUGCUUGAAAUCUAAGCAUUCAAUUCCAUGCCUGGUUUCAAAAUUACUAAAUAGUGUUUGUUCUGAAUGAUUCCAUGCUCUAAGUUUGACAAUUUCACUGGACAAAAAUCAAUGAUCUUAUUUAAAAAGAACUCAAGCUUCCCACCAGAAAUGCCUUUAUAGAACUAAAGUCCUUCUAACUUAAGCUCAUACCUACGGAAUAGUAUUUGUAUCUUCUAUAGAGAGGGUUUUUCACAUUAUGAUAGUAGAAUUUAUUGCAAUCUACCCAUUGCUCUGGUUUCAUCCACUUUUUAUUUAGUGAUUGUCUGCACAAAUUGUUUCAAUGUCUUCCUUUAUUUCUUUGCUGUUGUUGUUGUUGUUGUUGUCUUUCUGUCUUUUCUAGGGCUGCUCCCACUGCAUAUGGAGGUUCCCAGGCUAGGGGUCUAAUCAGAGCUGUAGCCACCAGCCUACACCAGAGCCAUAGCAACGUGGAAUCUGAGCCAUGUCUUUGACCUACACCACAGCUCACGGCAAUGCCAGAUCCUUAAUCCACUGAGUAAGGCCAAGGAUGGAACCUGAAACCUCAUGGUUCCUAGUAGGAUUUGUUUAUGCUGAGCCACGAUGGGAACUCCUCAAUGACUUUCAGAGCCUCAAGCAGUGGUUUUCAACUUGCAUAUGCUCAGAAUGCCAAAGAGUAAAUUUACCUUGAGGGUUGUCUCCCACUAGAAAGUGUGCCAGUACUGCCUGAUUACAAAUCAGGACUUAUAGAAGUUCCUGGUCUCAAACUUCCAAAGGGCUUUGAAUACCUUAUCACUCAUUUAGCAUCCUUGAAUUGGUUAACUUUUCAAGGAUCAAGGUCUGAAAACUUGUUAUAUUUCCUUUCAUCUUAACAAAAUUCAGUGUUAAUGAAUAUAGUUGAUGCUCAGUAAAUAUUUGUUAAGAAGAUUAGCCAAUUUGACCAUAAACUGAUUUAACCAAAAUGAGCUUAAACUAUCCCCACUUAAGAUCAGAACAAGAAUUAAAGUGAUCAAAGCACUGUAUUGUUUGCUACAAGUGGAGUUCAAUUUUAAUUCAAAUCAAUAAAACAAACCUAAUAAAUUCAGCUCAAUUUCACAGAGAUUGGAAUCCAAAUAAGUAUUUACCCAAAUAUACUACUUUCGGACAUAAGAGAAACAGUGAGAUGGAAAAUGAAAGAGUCUAGGACUCUCAAUACAUCCAGUUCCCCUGAAUGUGCCUGGCGGCAACCAUGGCAGGAUGGAAUUCCAUCCAGGGCAAUUCUAUUCAAGGAAGAGCUCCCCACUCAAAUCCCUUUAAUAGC